AAAACGACCAAUUUUAAAGCAAAAAAAAAAACCGAUUCAUAUCUAACAAUAUGAAUUUUGAUGUUCUUUCUCGGUCUGAAAAAGACCCAUUGCAUGCGUAUGCAUAUAUGAAAAAAGACCCAUAGUUUUCUUCACUGAUCUCGGUCUAAUCUCUCGACAACGAAAAACUUCUGCAUUUUUUUCAAAGUGAGACAGAUAAAAAACACAAACGUCUCCAUCAAUCAAGGUGUACCGGAUUCUCCAGCCUCCGUAGUCAUCAUCGUUCAUGAUACCAUGCAAUAGCAGAUUUUGGUUGAUUUGCCAAUUUCUCAAAUCAAUGCUUCACUUUCACAGUUUCAAAUGAGUGAGUUGGUCAAGAAAUACGAAACAAUCAAAUCAAUGGUGCCGAUUAUAAAAAGACUGUGAUGAAUAGAAGAAGAAGAAGAAGAAUGGUUAGUGAGAGAGAAGCAAAGCUUCCAUGUGCAGAGAUGGGUAGAAAAGGAUAUGAAUCUGGUGGAGGCACCAAAUGAGCAAGCAGUUAUGAUGUCGUAGUAGAAAGAUGAAAAGGAGACGCAACAACUUGGUGCUUUCUGGCUAAAAACUGUGAAUAUGUGCAGAUUAAUACUUAGGCGUGAAUUUGUAGAGGAUCGAACAUUGAUACUUUUGAAUCAUCAUUAACAUCAAACCUUGUUGAGUAGUUCUUCCAUGAAUGAAGAACCCUCACUUGCACCUUCCAAGAAGUCUUGUAAGGCUUAACGUCUCGGAGGGAAUUGAAGAUUAUGCAGAGAGAUUUGAGGGCGGAAUUGAUUGAAAAAAUAUUGUGGGAAUAGUUACCAAAAAUUUCGAAAGAAUAUUCUUCAAUUUGAUUGUCGAGCUUGACAAUAUUGGGCUUAUGGACAAUUUAAAAAACUGUAUCAUGCUAAUAUGGCCGAAAAUGUAUUAAAUUGGCCCAAACAAAGGAUGA